rnacentral:rRNA from 1 species
CGUGUACGUACAAGCAGUGGGAGCCUCUUAAUGGGGUGACUGCGUACCUUUUGUAUAAUGGGUCAGCGACUUAUAUUCUGUAGCAAGGUUAACCGAAUAGGGGAGCCGAAGGGAAACCGAGUCUUAACUGGGCGUUAAGUUGCAGGGUAUAGACCCGAAACCCGGUGAUCUAGCCAUGGGCAGGUUGAAGGUUGGGUAACACUAACUGGAGGACCGAACCGACUAAUGUUGAAAAAUUAGCGGAUGACUUGUGGCUGGGGGGGAAAGGCCAAUCAAACCGGGAGAUAGCUGGUUCUCCCCGAAAGCUAUUUAGGUAGCGCCUCGUGAAUUCAUCUCCGGGGGUAGAGCACUGUUUCGGCAAGGGGGUCAUCCCGACUUACCAACCCGAUGCAAACUGCGAAUACCGGAGAAUGUUAUCACGGGAGACACACGGCGGGUGCUAACGUCCGUCGUGAAGAGGGAAACAACCCAGACCGCCAGCUAAGGUCCCAAAGUCAUGGUUAAGUGGGAAACGAUGUGGGAAGGCCCAGACAGCCAGGAUGUUGGCUUAGAAGCAGCCAUCAUUUAAAGAAAGCGUAAUAGCUCACUGGUCGAGUCGGCCUGCGCGGAAGAUGUAACGGGGCUAAACCAUGCACCGAAGCUGCGGCAGCGACACUAUGUGUUGUUGGGUAGGGGAGCGUUCUGUAAGCCUGUGAAGGUGGCCUGUGAGGGUUGCUGGAGGUAUCAGAAGUGCGAAUGCUGACAUAAGUAACGAUAAAGCGGGUGAAAAGCCCGCUCGCCGGAAGACCAAGGGUUCCUGUCCAACGUUAAUCGGGGCAGGGUGAGUCGACCCCUAAGGCGAGGCCGAAAGGCGUAGUCGAUGGGAAACAGGUUAAUAUUCCUGUACUUGGUGUUACUGCGAAGGGGGGACGGAGAAGGCUAUGUUGGCCGGGCGACGGUUGUCCCGGUUUAAGCGUGUAGGCUGGUUUUCCAGGCAAAUCCGGAAAACCAAGGCUGAGGCGUGAUGACGAGGCACUACGGUGCUGAAGCGACAAAUGCCCUGCUUCCAGGAAAAGCCUCUAAGCAUCAGGUAACAUCAAAUCGUACCCCAAACCGACACAGGUGGUCAGGUAGAGAAUACCAAGGCGCUUGAGAGAACUCGGGUGAAGGAACUAGGCAAAAUGGUGCCGUAACUUCGGGAGAAGGCACGCUGAUAUGUAGGUGAAGCGACUUGCUCGUGGAGCUGAAAUCAGUCGAAGAUACCAGCUGGCUGCAACUGUUUAUUAAAAACACAGCACUGUGCAAACACGAAAGUGGACGUAUACGGUGUGACGCCUGCCCGGUGCCGGAAGGUUAAUUGAUGGGGUUAGCGGUAACGCGAAGCUCUUGAUCGAAGCCCCGGUAAACGGCGGCCGUAACUAUAACGGUCCUAAGGUAGCGAAAUUCCUUGUCGGGUAAGUUCCGACCUGCACGAAUGGCGUAAUGAUGGCCAGGCUGUCUCCACCCGAGACUCAGUGAAAUUGAACUCGCUGUGAAGAUGCAGUGUACCCGCGGCAAGACGGAAAGACCCCGUGAACCUUUACUAUAGCUUGACACUGAACAUUGAGCCUUGAUGUGUAGGAUAGGUGGGAGGCUUUGAAGUGUGGACGCCAGUCUGCAUGGAGCCGACCUUGAAAUACCACCCUUUAAUGUUUGAUGUUCUAACGUUGGCCCGUAAUCCGGGUUGCGGACAGUGUCUGGUGGGUAGUUUGACUGGGGCGGUCUCCUCCUAAAGAGUAACGGAGGAGCACGAAGGUUGGCUAAUCCUGGUCGGACAUCAGGAGGUUAGUGCAAUGGCAUAAGCCAGCUUGACUGCGAGCGUGACGGCGCGAGCAGGUGCGAAAGCAGGUCAUAGUGAUCCGGUGGUUCUGAAUGGAAGGGCCAUCGCUCAACGGAUAAAAGGUACUCCGGGGAUAACAGGCUGAUACCGCCCAAGAGUUCAUAUCGACGGCGGUGUUUGGCACCUCGAUGUCGGCUCAUCACAUCCUGGGGCUGAAGUAGGUCCCAAGGGUAUGGCUGUUCGCCAUUUAAAGUGGUACGCGAGCUGGGUUUAGAACGUCGUGAGACAGUUCGGUCCCUAUCUGCCGUGGGCGCUGGAGAACUGAGGGGGGCUGCUCCUAGUACGAGAGGACCGGAGUGGACGCAUCACUGGUGUUCGGGUUGUCAUGCCAAUGGCACUGCCCGGUAGCUAAAUGCGGAAGAGAUAAGUGCUGAAAGCAUCUAAGCACGAAACUUGCCCCGAGAUGAGUUCUCCCUGACUCCUUGAGGGUCCUGAAGGAACGUUGAAGACGACGACGUUGAUAGGCCGGGUGUGUAAGCGCAGCGAUGCGUUGAGCUAACCGGUACUAAUGAACCGUGAGGCUUAACCUU